rnacentral:rRNA from 1 species
UACGUAGGGUGCAAGCGUUAAUCGGAAUUACUGGGCGUAAAGCGUGCGCAGGCGGUUUUGUAAGCCAGAUGUGAAAGCCCCGGGCUUAACCUGGGAAUGGCAUUUGGGACUGCAAGGCUUGAGUGCGGCAGAGGAGACUGGAAUUCCUGGUGUAGCAGUGAAAUGCGUAGAUAUCAGGAGGAAUACCGAUGGCGAAGGCAGGUCUCUGGGCUGACACUGACGCUCAUGCACGAAAGCGUGGGAGCAACAGG